CCAUGCCUGCCUUCUCAUCAGCUAAAGACUAUCUCAGGCAGGUGCUGCUGGCAUUUUCAUUUCAGGGAUGGGGCCACUGAGCCUCGGAGCAGUUAGGAAACUUGCCUCGGGCACCACACUGCUGAGAACCUGGAGCUGGCCCAGACUCUGUCCUUCUUGUGACCGCCCUGCACCACAGUAGUUCCCACUGAGCUGAAACACAGGCUGGAGGGCAGUGGUGCUGAGGCGGGGGCUCCUAAAUGGGGCUGUCUUGAUGGCCCAGUCCUUGUGAAUGGAUCGAUGCUGGUGGCACUGCUGAGUUUGUUAGGAAGAUGAUUUGGGCUCCCUUCCGUACCCUUCUGCCUCCCACUGUGGACUGACUCACCAACAGGGUCUUAGCCAAGGCCAGCUCCUUGACCUGGGACUUCCCAGUGUCCAGAACGAUGAGAAAUGAUGGACUUUUAUAAACGUAGCCUUUCCUCCCACCAUGGUUUGGCAGCGCAAGAGAAGUAAUCAGACUGGAGUGGAUGGUGAGGUGUGUGUUUAUUAAUGCGCUCCCUGAAGACAGAUGCCAGCAUAGCGUCUGUUUGUGAGCAGCCCUGCCCACUCACCCCUGCUGUGAUGAUCAGGCAUCCGCAUGAUGCAAGGGCUUGGCAGAAAACCAUUCUCUGUCAGCGUGCCCCAGCCUUUUGACGUCAUGCCACGAUGUCAUCUGCACAGCUCAUGCUCAAGAAUAAUGUGGCUGAGUUACCAAAGGAAAAGAGGAGCUCACAAACAAAUCUUGUAAUGUAAUUUGUUUUUAAGUAAUAUAUUUUGUAUUGAACCUCACUCAAAGCUGUUCUGGGACUCAAGCAGCCCACAGGAUAUAGGAUGGAUUUGCCUGAGGCUAGUGAGUGUUCACCAAGAGGUUGGACCGAGAUUCCCAGUUUCUGGGACCCAUCCUGCCCAAGAUAGAGUAAGGACGUCAAGCUGUCGCUACCUUGUAUUCAUUCAGAAAAUAGUUUCUGAGCUCCAUAUUUCUAUUAAGGCUCAUGGCGUGUGUUGUUUUUGUGGAACUGCUCCAAACCACAGUGGCCUGAGCCCAUAAACACUGGACAUGGUCCAUGAGUGCAUGGGUCAGUGGGUGGUUGUGAACAUCGAGUCAAGCUUGGCUGAUCUUUGAGUUUUCUGUUACAUCAGGAGAAGUCAUGGGAGUCUUAUUUGCUGGGAAUAGGCUGUGCCGGACUCUGUUACUCCAUAAAAGAGUGGAUUUUCAGCAUGUGGCUUGCCCUGGGGGAUGCUGAGAAGCAGCUUUUGACUCCAUUUUGAAAAAGGAGGAAGACUGGAGACCCAGGGGGAGAGACCCAAACAUCACCUCCUGCCCAGCGCUGCGCAGGCUGUGCAGACUGAGAGUAGAAAGAGCCCCUCUGUAAACCUACCAAAGUAAACUAAAAGGACACACGGGCAUAUUAACAUCGUAACAGGGAAACCGGGGCUGAACUUAUCAGACACACCCGACCAGAGGAAGUGUGGAACUCCCUUGCCUGAGCCCCAGUAAGUGGCAGAUACCUAACAACCCGGUGACAGCACUGUGCCCCUGACCUGAUACCUGGUGUGCAUCAAGGACUACCAAACAAAGAACACCUGUCUGUCCCUGGAGCUCGGAUUCUGCUAUUGACUCAACCUACCUGAAUGCCCGCUUUCUACCAUUAUCUUUUCCAGGCCUCAGUACAGCUCUCUCUCCAUGCUAGUCUCAUCAUUAGAGAUUCUGGCUGUGAGAAACGCUCUAGAUGACACCUGACACUUUUGGGUGAGACCCGACUGUGACUCUCCCCAAUUCCUUCUGUUGUCUGUGGAGAACAAAACCACAAGGCCUGAGACCCCGAGUGACUAUGACAGUCAAAUUCUGUGCCUCCCACCGCGUCCCUCACUUAUACAGGUUGUACAUGUAGCACUGGAAAACGUAAAUGAAAAGCUAUUUUCUUCUGGUCAAAAAAAAAAGGGGAGUCUGUCUUUGGUUUUUGGUGAAUGUGUAAGAUUCCAAGCUAUGCAAAUGUAAGAGGCUAUGCAGCCAGACCUGUCAAUCAUCUGCCUGGGGAAGGCGGAUUUAACUAACACCAUGCCAAUGAGACACGAAGAAUAAUUAUGCUUUUAAUGAGAUGAUAGACUUUUCCUUCCCAUAAGCCCUGCUUUGGUGCCAUUGCUAUGGAGCGGUCACGAGGCCCGGCGGGGUCUGCUUACCUAUCUGAGUCCCAACUUGGAAAGACCUAACCUUCCUUUGUCUUCUUUGCCAUCUCUUUCUUUCGUUUCUUGGCCAGAACCUGAAUAUGCUUUCUCUGGGAUUUGUUUUCAGUGUUUAUCUGAGGCCAUGGGGCUGCUUACCAAACCUCAAUGCCUAAGUUAGACACGGCUUGCUGGCUUCCUCUUCCCUGCCUUCCUCCUCUGGGCGGCUUCUGGGGGCGGGCAGCUUCCCUGCCCUGUUGUUUUUCUGUUUAAAUUCUAAUAAAAUUGUACCUGAGCCUUU